rnacentral:rRNA from 1 species
AACGAACGCUGGCGGCAUGCCUAACACAUGCAAGUCGAACGAGACCUUCGGGUCUAGUGGCGCACGGGCGCGUAACGCGUGGGAAUCUGCCCUUGGGUUCGGAAUAACUCGCCGAAAGGCGUGCUAAUACCGGAUGAUGUCGUAAGACCAAAGAUUUAUCGCCCAGGGAUGAGCCCGCGUAAGAUUAGGUAGUUGGUGAGGUAAAGGCUCACCAAGCCGACGAUCUUUAGCUGGUCUGAGGGGAUGAUCAGCCACACUGGGACUGAGACACGGCCCAG